GUCUUUAUAGUUUAAAAAACACUAGGCUGUGAAUCUAGCAAUAGAGGCCCUAGCCCUCUUAAAGACC
rnacentral:tRNA from 1 species